UGAACGCUGGCGGCGUGCCUAAUACAUGCAAGUCGAGCGAACAGACGAGGAGCUUGCUCCUCUGACGUUAGCGGCGGACGGGUGAGUAACACGUGGAUAACCUACCUAUAAGACUGGGAUAACUUCGGGAAACCGGAGCUAAUACCGGAUAAUAUAUUGAACCGCAUGGUUCAAUAGUGAAAGACGGUUUUGCUGUCACUUAUAGAUGGAUCCGCGCCGCAUUAGCUAGUUGGUAAGGUAACGGCUUACCAAGGCGACGAUGCGUAGCCGACCUGAGAGGGUGAUCGGCCACACUGGAACUGAGACACGGUCCAGACUCCUACGGGAGGCAGCAGUAGGGAAUCUUCCGCAAAGGGCGAAAGCCUGACGGAGCAACGCCGCGUGAGUGAUGAAGGUCUUCGGAUCGUAAAACUCUGUUAUUAGGGAAGAACAAAUGUGUAAGUAACUAUGCACGUCUUGACGGUACCUAAUCAGAAAGCCACGGCUAACUACGUG
rnacentral:rRNA from 1 species